rnacentral:rRNA from 2 species
CGAAAUGCGAUACUUGGUGUGAAUUGCAGAAUCCCGUGAACCAUCGAGUUUUUGAACGCAAGUUGCGCCCGAUACCAUUAGGUUGAGGGCACGUCUGCCUGGGCGUCACACACAGCGUCG